GAUGAACGCUGGCGGCGUGCCUAAUACAUGCAAGUCGAGCGAACAGACGAGGAGCUUGCUCCUCUGACGUUAGCGGCUGACGGGUGAGUAACACGUGGAUCACCUACCUCUAAGACUGGGAUAACUUCGGGAAACCGGAUCUAAUACCGCAUAACAUGUUGAACCGCAUGGUUCAACAGUGAAUGACGGCCUUGCUGUCUCUUAUAGAUGGAUCCGCGCCGCCUUAGCUAGUUGGUAAGGUAACGGCUUACCAAGGCAACGAUGCGUAGCCGACCUGAGAGGGUGAUCGGCCAAACUGGAACUGAGACACGGUCCAGACUCCUACGGGAGGCAGCAGUAGGGAAUCUUCCGCAAUGGGCGAAAGCCUGACGGAGCAACGCCGCGUGAGUGAAGAAGGUCUUCGGAUCGUAAAACUCUGUUAUUAGGGAAGAACAAAUGUGUAAGUAACUAUGCACGUCUUGACGGUACCUAAUCAGAAAGCCACGGCUAACUACGUG
rnacentral:rRNA from 1 species